GAUGAACGCUGGCGGCGUGCCUAAUACAUGCAAGUCGAGCGAACAGACGAGGAGCUUGCUCCUCUGACGUUAGCGGCGGACGGGUGAGUAACACGUGGAUAACCUACCUAUAAGACUGGGAUAACUUCGGGAAACCGGAGCUAAUACCGGAUAAUAUAUUGAACCGCAUGGUUCAAUAGUGAAAGACGGUUUUGCUGUCACUUAUAGAUGGAUCCGCGCCGCAUUAGCUAGUUGGUAAGGUAACGGCUUACCAAGGCAACGAUGCGUAGCCGACCUGAGAGGGUGGUCGGCCACACUGGAACUGGGACACGGUCCAGACUCCUGCGGGAGGCAGCAGUAGGGAAUCUUCCGCAAUGGGCGAAAGCCUGACGGAGCAACGCCGCGUGAGUGAUGAAGGUCUUCGGAUCGUAAAACUCUGUUAUUAGGGAAGAACAAAUGUGUAAGUAACUAUGCACGUCUUGACGGUACCUAAUCAGAAAGCCACGGCUAACUACGUG
rnacentral:rRNA from 1 species